rnacentral:rRNA from 1 species
GACGAACGCUGGCGGCGUGCCUAAUACAUGCAAGUAGAACGCUUAAGAGAGGAGCUUGCUCUUCUUGGAUGAGUUGCGAACGGGUGAGUAACGCGUAGGUAACCUGCCUUGUAGCGGGGGAUAACUAUUGGAAACGAUAGCUAAUACCGCAUAACAAUGAUGACACAUGUCAUUUAUUUGAAAGGGGCAAUUGCUCCACUACAAGAUGGACCUGCGUUGUAUUAGCUAGUAGGUGAGGUAAUGGCUCACCUAGGCGACGAUACAUAGCCGACCUGAGAGGGGGAUUGGCCAAACUGGGACUGAGAAAAGGCCCAGACUCCUAAGGGAGGGAGCAGGAGGGAAUCUUCGGAAAUGGGGGCAACCCUGAACGAGCAACGCCGCGGGAGUGAAGAAGGGUUUCGGAUCGGAAAGCUAUGUUGUAAGUCAAGAACGGGUGUGAGAGUGGAAAGUUCACACUGUGACGGUAGCUUAACAGAAAGGGACGGCUAACUACGUG